rnacentral:rRNA from 1 species
AGCAGCCGCGGUAAUUCCAGCUCCAAUAGCGUAUAUUAAAGUUGUUGCAGUUAAAAAGCUCGUAGUUGAACUUCGGAAUUUGCCCAUUGGUCAGGCUUAACUGUCUGAACUGGUGUGACGAGUUCCUACCUUCUGAGGAAUCUUCAUGCCAUUCAUUUGGUGUGGGGGGAAAUCAGGACUGUUACUUUGAAAAAUUAGAGUGUUUAAAGCAGGCAUCCGUCUGAAUACAUUAGCAUGGAAUAAUAAAAUAGGACGGUUUGGUUCUAUUUUGUUGGUUUCUAGGAUCACCGUAAUGAUUAAUAGGGAUAGUUGGGGGCAUUAGUAUUCAAUUGUCAGAGGUGAAAUUCUUGGAUUUAUUGAAGACUAACUACUGCGAAAGCAUUUGCCAAGGAUGUUUUCAUUAAUCAAGAACGAAAGUUAGGGGAUCGAAGACGAUCAGAUACCGUCGUA